GGAAAUAGGAAUUAUGUAAUAACUGCAAGAUGUCGAUUGCGAUUUGGAUUUGGAUUUGGAUAACUUAAAAUUAAAUGAGACUGAGAACGCUGUAAGGAAAAUCGUUUGAGCCAGAUCGGAUGACAUCAGGCACCCGCAAUAGCAUAUACAAUAUACAUAAAUCCUUGGCGGCAAGCAGACAAGAAAUAAUGAAUAAGACAGAAAACAGUAAGCAGUAAAUGACGCGCGAUUGAGUUUCACAUUGUCAAGUGAUUUACAAUUCGUUCGCCUCAAUUGAAUGAGCGCCAUUUGGCGGCCCGAGUUGCGUGUUGCUGCUGUCGUUGACGUUGCUGCUGCUGUUGCUAGUUGCUGUUGCUGUUGCCUCAUGGUCGCUGAACUGGCAGCAUCAUUGAGCAUUUAUGCGCGCCAUCGAUCAAGUCGGAGCCAAGCCGCAGCCACAUCGACAUCCAACGACGACUUGGAAAAUGCAUCUGCGUUCGUCGGCAGUUACGAAAUAUCCAAGUUUUGUUUGCAGCCAGUUGACACACAUACUGCGGAAAUGUAUCUCAGCGAUGAGUCAGUGUCGAAAAACAUUUAAUAGGCGUUUUCUACAAUCAUUUCAUCUCGAAUUCUUUGUUUUACUUUACGACUCCCUAAUGAAAAUUAGUAAUUUUUUGUUUUUAAGUGCGAGUUUCAUACGGAUUUGUCAUAGGCCUUUUGAUAACAUUGCUUAUUAAAAACCUCUUAAACUUU